GCCAUCUUAGCUCAGUCGGUAGAGCGCGUGACUUGUAAUCUCGAGGUCUUCGGUUCAACUCCGAAAGAUGGCU
rnacentral:tRNA from 1 species